AGAAUCAACGCUGGCGGCGUGCCUAACACAUGCAAGUCGAACGAGAAAGUGGAGCAAUCCAUGAGUAAAGUGGCGACCGGGUGAGUAACACGUGACUAACCUACCUCCGAGUGGGGAAUAACUCCGGGAAACCGGGGCUAAUACCGCAUAACAUCGCAAGAUCAAAGCAGCAAUGCGCUUGGAGAGGGGGUCGCGGCUGAUUAGCUAGUUGGCGGGGUAACGCCCACAAGGCGAAGAUCGGUA
rnacentral:rRNA from 1 species